rnacentral:tRNA from 1 species
AGGUGAGCGGCGGCAUCCGCGAUGUUCUUGAAAACUGUCGUGGCGUAACCCGUCACCGUGGGUUCAAAUCCCACACUCU